GGCAGGUAAUGCAUCAUUAACCAUAUCUGGGCUGGAAUACAGUGAUACCGAAUGGUACAGGUGUGACAUUCACGUGGGGAAGCAACAUCACUGUAAAGAUAUGAAGCUCGUUGUGAGAGACUUAGAAUCAGAAGUGAUCAUGACAAGCUCACCAAAUGUAACCAGUGCAAUAACAGAUACAAUAGUGAAGGAGGAGGCCAGUGGAAGUGUGGUCAUUGUGGUGACCUCAG